rnacentral:misc_RNA from 1 species
AAAUUAUCCAUGGGAUGGAACAGAGAACAAAAAAAAAAUAUUAUUAUGGCUGUCCAGAUGAUGAAACAUUCAAAUACAUGGCUACCAUCUACAGUCGUUCCCAUCAUAACAUGUCUCUAAGUGAGGAAUUUCCAGGAGGAAUUACAAAUGGUGCAUAUUGGUAUCCAAUCUAUGGAGGCAUGCAAGACUGGAAUUACUUACAUGCUGGUUGUUUUGAACUUACUCUAGAGAUUAGUGAUGAUAAAUGGCCUAAUGCGAGUGAGCUUCCUACUCUUUUUGAGUACAACAAGAUGAGUAUGCUAAAUCUUGUUGCAAGCCUUGUGAAGACAGGAAUACACGGAAGGAUUUUCUCAUCAGAUGAGGGCAAGCCUUUACCUGCCUCGAUAGCUAUAAAAGGCUUAAAUUCUACGAUACAUGCAAGGGAAACGUUAGCCGAUUACCACCGCUUGCUGGUGCCUGAUAGAAAAUAUGAAGUGAUCGCGACAAUGCCAGGAUACAAGCCGAGGAGUACGAGCAUUAUGUUGGGGGAAGAAGCAAUGACAGUGGAUUUUGUUAUGGAUCCAGUUAUCACUCCCAUAAACAGCUUUUUGCGAAGGGGAUGGAGUUGCAGCUUGCCAGGUCCUCAUUUAGAAGUUUUUUUGAUUUUGGUUUUGGUAUUAGUUUCAGUAUUCCUUUGCUUUUUAUUAAAGAGGAGAGUAGUUUUAAACUAUCCAAAACAGAGACAGACAAAAAGGUCUGUUAUUGGGGUAUGAAGUUUAACACACGUUUUCG